UUCUUAAGCAUUAUAUGGUAAAGAUAAUGAUUUGUUAAGCAGUAAAGGUAUGUGUUUGAUUCCUAGGCAAAGAUGCCAGAGGAACUGGGAUGAAAAAGUACAUUGCUGUGAUGUGAUGCGAUCCGUCUGGCAUGAUACCUAUCCCAAGCGGCCCACAAAACAGUGAAUCCCUCUGAAUGUAUGGUUGACACUCCCUAUGAAGGAACCUUGAAGGUGGCCAGGGUCAUCACAGCAGACUGAAAACUGAUUUGAAGCCUCAGAGGCGCCUAGAAGACACCACAGAUCAAGCUGAGCUGUCACUAAAGAUUAGGAGACGACAGCUACCAACCACAAAAUGUUUGGAUGUGUCAUUAAAGGCACUGUAAAAGGAGCCAAGUGAGUCAG